rnacentral:tRNA from 1 species
GCAAUGGUGGUUCAGUUGUAGAAUUUUCACCUUCCAUCCAGGAAACCUGGGUUUGAUUCCCAGCCAAUGCA